GACGAACGCUGGCGGCGUGCUUAACACAUGCAAGUCGAACGGAAAGGCCCUGCUCUUGUGGGGUGCUCGAGUGGCGAACGGGUGAGUAACACGCGAGUAACCUGCCCUUGACUUUGGGAUAACUUCAGGAAACUGGGGCUAAUACCGGAUAGGAGCUCCUGCUGCAUGGUGGGGGUUGGAAAGUUUCGGCGGUUGGGGAUGGACUCGCGGCUUAUCAGCUUGUUGGUGGGGUAGUGGCUUACCAAGGCUUUGACGGGUAGCCGGCCUGAGAGGGUGACCGGCCACAAUGGGACUGCGAUACGGCCCAGACUCCUACGGGAGGCAGCAGUGGGGAAUAUUGCACAGUGAGCGGAAGCCUGAUGCAGAAACGCCGCGUGCGGGAUGACGGCCUUCGGGUUGUAAACCGCUUUCGCCUGUGACGAAGCGUGAGUGACGGUAAUGGGUAAAGAAGCACCGGCUAACUACGUG
rnacentral:rRNA from 1 species